rnacentral:ncRNA from 2 species
GCACUGGCAGAACUUUGACACCGCUUUAGUUCUUUGUGGUGGUUUGAAGUCAAGCGAUGCCGUAACUACCAACAGUGC